GGUUUUCUGCUCUCCCUCCCGAAACCCCCCCGAGCCGCUCCCGUCUCACCCAUCGCGCAAACAACUCUAGGGUUCCUUGAGCCGCCGCCGCACCGGAGCUCCUCGACCAGCCCCACCUCAUGCCGCUCCACCCACUGCUUCUCCCUCCGCCCGCGCCGCUCUCUUCCCCGCCGGCGCUGCCCACCACGAGCGGGGAGGCCCCAGAUCGUCUCAAGCAAGUCAGCGGGGCGGUGGCCAGAUCCACCACAGCAACAUCUCGUCCAGAUGGGCCGCGCCGGGAGAGGUAGAUCGAGGCGGCGGGCACCGUGUGCGUCUUGUCUCUUGGGACGCCGCUCCGACCCGAUCCGGCGAGGAGGCAGCCUCCGUCUGCGACAAUGAGGGCGGCGGCCGGCUGCGCGAGAGGUCGAUCUGAUUGUGCCUCCAUGACGGCAUCGUGAUGCCCACCGCCGACGGCGCUGCGUUGCGACCAAAGGGGCACCCGGCCACGGCCGGGGACUCACUGCAGUUGAAGCACGCCACCUCGCCACCAUGUAUGUUGUGUGUUCUUGUGCUGCAGGUCCUUGGGGUUGGGUGUUCUUGUCGCCACCAUGUUCAUGCAGGCACGAAUUGGACUGAGAAAUGCUAACAGAGGAGGAGAAGACCAUGCAAGUCCUUGGGGUUGGGUGCGGCAACUCGCUGCUCGAAGACAAUCUUUUGUGGUGGGGCGUCGCUGCCGCCGGCGGCACCUGCAUAGACCGUCUCGCUGGGAACGAACAGAUGCUCCCCUGAUUUGGAGCUGUAGAAAGGAGGUGGUUGCAGACACAAAGUGGGGACACACAACUCCCAGUCAUAAUAUUCUUUAUCUUGGCUCGUUGUUUGGGGAUGGACGCAUCAAUCUGAUCGCGCUCUCCUCCAUGCCAAACGGAUCCUUGGUUCAGAGGUGCGCGGCGCCGACGAUGACAACCUUUCUAUCGACGCAAGGGCAGCAGGAGCUCAUGACGCUGUUGAUGCCACCACCAUGCACAGGGUUGAUGCAAGGUGGGACAAUGCGAUCACUAAUGGGGAGAACAUAAACUUCAAUUGAGGGCACUGUGAUUCUCUAGCUACAUGUAUCAUAGCUUCUGCAGGAGGGUGUCACCUGCGGCAUCACUUGCAUCGACCUCUCACCGAUCACCGUCCCGAGGAUGCACGACAGACUGGCGGAGCAGGGCACCAGUGAUUGUUUCACCAAUUUGCUCGACUCAUGGUUCCCUUCCUCUGUCCACGCAACGUUGCCCAUUGUUGCUAACUUGUUAAUUCAUCAGGCCCAUUAUUGCGGCUACAUAGUCUGUUAAUCUUGCCUGCCUUCUUAGGAGAAACCAAUUUACUAAGGGUUGGCAAUUCCGAAGUUAUUGCCUUUCUACUUCAAACUGAAAUAAUUCCUCUUUGUCUUUAAUAUGGAGAUGGGCACUGAACUUUAAAAAACAGUAUGAACUCAACCCCUUCUGUAAAUCAAAUAUUUCAUUUGCGGGGACGACAUGGGGCUCAUGUCGAGCACUUCACCUGCAAUGGGUGUGGCCUUCUCCGUCUGCCAAACAUGCUACAAGUACGAGCACCAUGAGGGAACUGCCUGGAGUGCGAGACCCGCCACAAGCUCCUCAAGGGUCAGUCAGCCUCCACCCACGGCCGAAGGCACUUGCAGAUGUGAAGAAUAUCCAUGUCCGAUUACAUCGCUAGAAAGCAAAAACUAUGAGAGCCCACACUAAUCAUCAAGGGAUUUUUGAAACGAGCAGAAGAUUAGUAACUUCUACGACAUCAAAGAUCUGACCUUUUAGAGUAUGCACCAUAUUGAUUUACUUAUUGAUUUAUUCACACCAUAUCAGAUUUGUCUUGAACGUGAUACUUUAUUGACUGUACUGGGCACGGGAAGUUAACUGUUUUAAUUAUAUAGGAUUAGUCUGCACCAAUUGCUGCAUAAGUUCUCCUUGAUACCAAUUUACAUACUUGUGCUACUAGGCCUUUGGUCAGUUUGCAACUGGUAUUUUAGACAUGUACGAGUAUUCUCAUGGUAUUUCUAUAUGUUUUAAUUAGUACCAGAUGGAAUUUGCGAAUUAGUAUUACAAAGAGAAGAGAAAAGGAAACAUUAUUCACGAGUUUGCAGGAAUAUGGAAACUCAAGGUAGUCUGUUAGCAUAAGUAAAAAAUGUUUUUCAUUUUAUUUCUUGGUUCGACCAAAUUAUAUUUUAUCCGAACGUAUGGAUGAUCGACACAAUGGACGUACGUAGUUUCUGGUUAGCACUAAUUGGAUAACAAUUAUGCCUACUAUUACCAUUUUUGUGCAUUGUUUGGUCGCAUUUUAGUUAAAUACAUCCUUUGUGACGAAUAAUGAUUUUUGAGCAUACUAUCUUCUUUUCAUGUGGGGAGAUCGCUGAUAGAAAAGAAAAUUGUGUUUCUGAUAUGUUAUGCUAAUUUCUAAGUCCUUCCAAUUUCGAACUACUAGGUAUGCAGCCUUAGAUGAACAACUACCUCUUUAUUUGCUUGAGGAUGAUUUGAUUGUGCAAUUAAGGCUACAUAAUUUCACUUUUCAUUUAUAUUUAUUGGUGAGGGCGAGCUGGCGGCGGCAUGGCGCGCUGGUGCGCAUGACCGCGGGUUCGGCCAGGGUGCGAGCUGAUCUGGCAUGUGCGCUGGCGAAGUAAGGCGUAGAGGUGCUCCGGCCGGAUGGGUGCGUUGGUCCGUGGCGGAGGUGCGAGGUGGGCGUGGAUCUGGCGCCUAGCAUGCACGAGGGAGGACAUAUGGGCGUUGUGCGUUUCUUCGCGGCGGGAGGUGUGACUGUGCUACUCUGCAGAUUGAUGACGUUGUUCUCCUGGUUUCGUGGAUCUGCAGCGGGGUAGCCGGUGGUUGCGGCGCCAGAGAAUGCUGGGGCAGCGGCCUCGGGCUGAUGGCUGCUAUGGCAGGGGCUGCUGCACCGGCUCAGGAUGGUGGAUUUGGAGCAAUGCACUCAGAUCUGACCCUGGCAACCGCGUUGUUUCUAUGUUGCAUGAGUUGCUGCAGCUGGUCGUCGCGUGAGGGCUAUGCCGGCUGACGGCAGGGGGGUGCCCUACACAAUGUGCUUGGCUCUGAUGGUCUGGGUAUCGUUGCGUGACCAGAUUUGCAAGCAAGCUCACUGAUAGGAGAUCAGGGACUCGGGCGAAAGCUCCGUGACCUUCUUAGAGGCAUAGUCGUAGACAUCUUCCUAUCCUUUCAUGUGCUUGGGUUCUCCGGGUGAGAACCUAAACUCCAGUUUUCUGGAGUGGGUGGCGGCGGCGUUUACGUCGUAACCAUCUUCAGAGGUGUAGCCUUGGAGGGCCAGCCUUUGGAUGUCAUGUGGGGCUCUUUCGUUUUCAAGGGCGGUGUAUGUCGGGGCUGCGGCUCCAGGAUCUUCUAUUAAGUGUCGAGGCUGCGGCCUCGGGCAGUACUGCGACGACAGCUCCAAGAGGUAGGGCUGCUUGUCGGCAUGGCUUGGGUGAGGACCUUGAAGUGCGGAAGCAGCAAGGUUGUCAGCUCCGUCAAUGCGCCCCAGUCGGGACUGUUGGACGACAUGUUGGGGCAGCGGCCCAGGAUGUGGUGCAGCGUUUGUGGUCUAUGUGCGGUUGGCCUGAGCAGCGUGAGCUGCGGGUAGCUGUAUCGUCCGGCGUAGUGCCGGCCAGGUUGUCGCUCAUCCAGGUUGCCGACCGGGAAGAGGUGUAGUGCCGGCCAAGACGAGAACAAGGGGAAGCUGCUUGGUUGUCUGUGUUCAUCAAAGGUGCUCUCUCUUUUCCAUCUUUCUUUUUAUUUACUUAAUCCUAGAUGGGUGACUACUAAUUUCCAUGUCUACUGGGAGGAAGAAGGUUGGCGGACGUAUCUUUGUGACUAUGUCAUUCACGUGCUUUGUUUCAACUCAUAAAGUGGAUCCUUUUUAAGCUAUAUCAAAUCAUAAGACAUAAUUUUCAGUUGAUUUUUUUCUUCUAAUUCCCAGUUUAUUGCUUCACAUAGACUAUUACAUAUUUAUGCUAGCCAAUUCGAAGCUUUGUCCCAAGGGCAAGCAUACAGUUGAAAAAAUAAAUACAUGUACGACAGAUCAGCCAGCAACUUGUUGAUCUGUGAUUCUUUGAAAUUUGAUGCUUAUAACUGUUUAUAAGUCAGUAUUGUUCAGAGCCAAAGAUAAGUAACAAUCUAUUUGGUUAAGUUGAACACUUCCAGAUAAGGAGUAGUAGAAAUUCUUAAGGGCAUUGGGAUAUUGAACUGCAGAUAGCUUCGGCAGGUUUGUUAGGCUAAUAUAAAGUAGGGACCUUUGCUACAUAAUGAUACAAAGAUGAUACCGAAGGUUGUUUUGCAACUACCAAGUUUCAAGGUCACAUGGAUGCUGACAGCUCUCAGGUGUAUGGCCUAUUUGUUGCUGGGUAUUGUUGCCUUUCUUCCUGGUUUAUACAGCGGAGGAUCCUGAGUUGAUGCAUAUAUUGGCUCAAAAAGUAACUAGGCUCUGAAGUGCAGAUUGACAAGAGAAUUGUUUCUUUCAUGCAGAGUUUCUGCUGCUAUUUGUUAAAUCUUAAAGAAACGUCUGUUCCUGAGGUUUACAAGUCCCCUUGUUCAAAUAUGAAAAUGAUUUAUUUGCAAACUUCAAUGCAAAAUGCCAUCCAGGGGGCCAGGGCGAUUAGAUGCCCAUCACUCACGGCGGCAAGAAGUUCCGUGUCGAGUUGAUGAACCAGCACCAGCUGGGAGCCCGGAUGAAGAAGGUUGUCCCCGCGGAGAAAAAGGAGAAGUGAUGAGAUGUUUUUGACAGCUAAUGGAUGAUGUUAUCUUAGUCUGUGAAUUUUUGUUUUGGUCGAUUUAGAAACCUUGUUUGAUGUCUGAAGAUCCCUUUUUGCCCACUGUUCAAACCAUCUCUUCAUUGUUGUGUAAAUGGUAACAAUACACUUCAAACAAUUAAGUUGUAAUCCCAAAAAAUAUUUUGCAAAAGGAUGUACUUAUCGCCUCAAUAA